GAGUUUCUGGCGGACCAUCAAAUCGCUAAUUGAAUUCGCGCAUUUUCGUGUUUUGAGUGCGUCCGCAUCCUUGCGAGGGGAAAUACGAUUUACAUCGAUCUCGAGAUAAUUCGAUUCAAGCUGUUGCACACGUCCUCCCGACAAACACUGGAGAAGAGCACCCAC
ensembl:ncRNA ZC64.6 ncRNA